GGGGUUGUGGCUCAGUGAUAGAGCACUUGCCUAGCAUGUGUAAGGCACUGGGUUCGAUCCUCAGCCCCA
rnacentral:tRNA from 1 species